rnacentral:piRNA from 5 species
UCGUACGUAGCAGAGCAGCUCCCUC